UACGAAGGUGCAAGCGUUACUCGGAAUUACUGGGCGUAAAGCGUGCGUAGGUGGUUCGUUAAGUCUGUCGUGAAAGCCCCGGGCUCAACCUGGGAAUGGCGAUGGAUACUGGCGGGCUAGAGUGCGGUAGAGGAGAGUGGAAUUCCCGGUGUAGCAGUGAAAUGCGUAGAGAUCGGGAGGAACACCGGUGGCGAAGGCGGCAUCCUGGACCGGCAUGACGCUGAGGCGCGAAAGCCAGGGGAGCAAACGGG
rnacentral:rRNA from 1 species